rnacentral:rRNA from 1 species
UGGGGAAUAUUGCACAAUGGGCGCAACCCUGACGCAGCAACGCCGCGUGCGGGACGAAGGCCCUCGGGUCGUAAACCGCUUUCAGCAGGGAAGACCACGACGGUACCUGCAGAAGAAGCUCCGGCUAACUACGUGCCAGCAGCCGCGGUAAUACGUAGGGGGCGAGCGUUAUCCGGAUUCAUUGGGCGUAAAGCGCGCGUAGGCGGCCGCCUAAGCGGAACCUCUAACCCCGGGGCUCAACCUCGGGCCGGGUUCCGGACUGGGCGGCUCGAGUGCGGUAGAGGAUAGCGGAAUUCCCGGUGUAGCGGUGGAAUGCGCAGAUAUCGGGAAGAACACCGAUGGCGAAGGCAGCUCUCUGGGCCGUCACUGACGCUGAGGCGCGAAAGCUGGGGGAGCGAACAGG